rnacentral:tRNA from 1 species
UGGGGGCUCGGCUAAUCGGCAGGCCGCCUGAUUUUGGCUCAGGUCGUGGGGGUUCGAGUCCUCCGUCCUCAG